GUUGUUGGGUAGGGGAGCGUUCUGUAAGCCUGCGAAGGUGGCCUGUGAGGGUUGCUGGAGGUAUCAGAAGUGCGAAUGCUGACAUAAGUAACGAUAAAGCGGGUGAAAAGCCCGCUCGCCGGAAGACCAAGGGUUCCUGUCCAACGUUAAUCGGGGCAGGGUGAGUCGACCCCUAAGGCGAGGCCGAAAGGCGUAGUCGAUGGGAAACGGGUUAAUAUUCCCGUACUUGGUGUUACUGCGAAGGGGGGACGGAGAAGGCUAUGUUGGCCGGGCGACGGUUGUCCCGGUUUAAGCGUGUAGG
rnacentral:rRNA from 1 species